GAUGAACGCUGGCGGCGUGCCUAAUACAUGCAAUCGAACCAAACUUCUUUUUCACCCAGUGCUUGCACUCACCGAUUAAGAGUUUAGUGGCGAACGGGUGAGUAACCCGUUGGCCACCUUCCCAACAGAGGGGGAUAACACUUUUAAACAGGUUCUAAUUCCCCCUUACCAUUAUUUCCGCAUGGUUACUUUUUUACAGGUGGCUAUACUACCCCUUUUGGAUGGUCUCGCGGCGCCUUAGCCAGUUGGUUGGGGAAAGGCUUAACAAGGCAAUGAUGAGUAGCCGAAUUGAGAGGUUGAUCGGCCACAUUGGAACUGAGAAACGGACAAAACUACUACGGGAGGCAGCAGUAGGGAAUCUUCCACAAUGGGCGAAAGCCUGAUGGAGCAACGCCGCGUGGGUGAAGAAGGUCUUCGGAUCGUAAAACCCUGUUGUUAGAGAAGAAAGUGCGUGAGAGUAACUGUUCACGUUUCGACGGUAUCUAACCAGAAAGCCACGGCUAACUACGUG
rnacentral:rRNA from 1 species